GUGCCAGCCGCCGCGGUAAUACGGAGGGUGCGAGCGUUGUCCGGAAUCACUGGGCGUAAAGGGCGCGUAGGUGGCUCGUGAAGCGUGCGGUGAAAGUCCGAGGCUCAACCUCGGAUCGGCCGUGCGGACUCGCGGGCUCGAGCGUUGUAGAGGCGGGUGGAAUUCCGGGUGUAGCGGUGGAAUGCGUAGAGAUCCGGAAGAACACCGGUGGCGAAGGCGGCCCGCUGGGCAACUGCUGACACUGAUGCGCGACAGCGUGGGGAGCAAACAGGAUUAGAUACCCUCGUAGUCC
rnacentral:rRNA from 1 species